rnacentral:rRNA from 1 species
CCUACGGGUGGCAGCAGUGGGGAAUAUUGCGCAAUGGGCGAAAGCCUGACGCAGCGACGCCGCGUGAGGGAUGAAGGUCUUCGGAUCGUAAACCUCUGUCAGCAGGGAAGAACGGGCACUGUGCUAAUCAGCAUUGAAUUGACGGUACCUGCAAAGGAAGCACCGGCUAACUCCGUGCCCGCAGCCGCUGUAAUACGGCGGGUGCGAGCGUUAAUCGGAAUUACUGGGCGUAAAGCGCUCGUAUGCGGUAUGUCAAGUCAAGGGUGAAAUCCCCGCGCUCAACGUGGGAACUGCCUUUGAAACUGGCAAACUGGAGUGUGUGAGAGGAUAGUGGAAUUCCAGGUGUAGGAGUGAAAUCCGUAGAUAUCUGGAGGAACAUCAGUGGCGAAGGCGACUAUCUGGCACAUAACUGACGCUGAGGAGCGAAAGCGUGGGUAGCAAACAGGAUUAGAUACCCGAGUAGUC